rnacentral:rRNA from 1 species
GGACCCGCACAAGCGGUGGAUGAUGUGGUUUAAUUCGAUGCAACGCGAAAAACCUUACCUACCCUUGACAUGUCAAGAAUUCUGCAGAGAUGUGGAAGUGCUCGAAAGAGAACUUGAACACAGGUGCUGCAUGGCCGUCGUCAGCUCGUGUCGUGAGAUGUUGGGUUAAGUCCCGCAACGAGCGCAACCCUUGUCAUUAGUUGCUACGAAAGGGCACUCUAAUGAGACUGCCGGUGACAAACCGGAGGAAGGUGGGGAUGACGUCAGGUCCUCAUGGCCCUUAUGGGUAGGGCUACACACGUCAUACAAUGGCCGGUACAGAGGGUUGCCAACCCGCGAGGGGGAGCUAAUCCCAGAAAACCGGUCGUAGUCCGGAUCGUAGUCUGCAACUCGACUGCGUGAAGUCGGAAUCGCUAGUAAUCGCGGAUCAGCUUGCCGCGGUGAAUACGUUCCCGGGUCUU